rnacentral:rRNA from 1 species
UACGUAGGGCGCAAGCGUUUGUCCGGAAUUAUUGGGCGUAAAGAGCUCGUAGGCGGCUUGUCACGUCGGUUGUGAAAGCCCGGGGCUUAACCCCGGGUCUGCAGUCGAUACGGGCUAGCUAGAGUGUGGUAGGGGAGAUCGGAAUUCCUGGUGUAGCGGUGAAAUGCGCAGAUAUCAGGAGGAACACCGGUGGCGAAGGCGGAUCUCUGGGCCAUUACUGACGCUGAGGAGCGAAAGCGUGGGGAGCGAACAGG